GCAUCUGUAGUAGCUUAAACAAGCUCAUCUACCAUCGCUUUUCGAGAUACUCGAUAUUGAAGCCUGCGGUGUCAACCCCCAUCGAGCGUAAAUUGAAAUGGUUUUCUGAACGUUUCAAUUGACAAUAAACCAGAAUAGUUGGUAGUUGUUUUGCUAGUUUUCUAGCUACCAUACGAAAUACCAAACUUAGCUACACAUGUAGAAUAUGGGGAUAACCCAUCUAGACCCGGGUUCAAUUCCCGGCAUCUCCACGA
rnacentral:tmRNA from 1 species